GUGUGCAAACACCUGCAGGGCAGCGGCCAGAGCCCUCGAGACUCAUUGAGCUCUGAGGAAACCCUUGGGAAGUCUCAGAUCUCGAGCCAGUCAGCCCUGGAGCAGAGCACCCCGGAGCCCAACAG